UACGUAGGGUGCGAGCGUUAAUCGGAAUUACUGGGCGUAAAGCGUGCGCAGGCGGUCCGCAAAGUCUGAUGUGAAAGCCCCGGGCUCAACCUGGGAACUGCAUUGGAAACUAACGGGCUCGAGUGUGGCAGAGGGGGGUGGAAUUCCACGUGUAGCAGUGAAAUGCGUAGAGAUGUGGAGGAACACCGAUGGCGAAGGCAGCCCCCUGGGCUAACACUGACGCUCAGGCACGAAAGCUAGGGGAGCAAACGGG
rnacentral:rRNA from 1 species